CCUCAUGAGACACUAACCUAGACAGAGCCUAGCGCAACUUCCCGCGGGACCCGGCCAGCGGCCUGUCCCUUAGCCAGGCCAGAGGGGCUAGGGACGGUUGCGGCCCUGAAGCCGGAUGGGAGUUGUAGUCCGCUCUGGCCUCGGUUUGAAAGCGGCGCUAAGGCAACACACCCAUCUACCCCCAAAAGUUUCUGAUCUCCUUUAAAUCCUUAAAACUAACCCAGAGACAUGUAGUUGAGGUAGGAUGGGCACACUCAUUUAGCAUGAAUACACUGCGGCUUUGGAAGGCUGAGGGUAGGGGGUCUCUGAAACUAGAUUCUCGUGUGGACCUAGAUGGGACUGAUUUUCAAGGCUUUGGCGGGAACAAGGCCCUGAACUGGAACGUGGAGGGCACAAGAAGUUUGAGAUGUGCUGAUGGAGGCAAAGGAGGUGGAGGUGCUGGCUGUGUCCAGGGAGGUUUUUUAUUUCUGGCCAUCUGUGUUGGUCUUGAUGGUGACAGGCCAGAUACCAAAGAGAAGGGUGCUCUGGUGUCUUUUGAACAACUUGUUUAAAGGCCUACUUAGAGGGCUUGCCUCUCCUUCCAGACUGCAAGCUGAAGACCUUGACAGGAUCGAGUCAUCAGCGUUGAGGGAGGAAGCAUUCUGAAUGUUUGCAGGGGCAAAGUCCCCUAUCGGAGACAUCAGCUGGCUCUAACCAACCCCACCCAGAACUGUGGAUUUUUGUCAGCCUCUGCCGUCUUCAGAGCUGGCUCUGCUGGCUCCAAACCUGCCUGGGGGCAAGUGAGGAGCCAAGCAGCUCGGAGCCCUGGGACCUUUGUUUACAGGAUCCCACAACCCAGUCUGAGGACACUAGGGAGGGGAGCCCAUCCUGUCUGUCUACAGCUGUGGCGGUCUUGAGGGAGGUGAUGAUGUGCAGAUGUGGAAGUGGGCCCAGCAUAAUUCUGAUAUCAAUCUCUACUGGUGUUUAGAUUUUUGGGGACAGGCUCUCAUGUAGCUUGGUCCUCCCCCCCACAUCCCAAGUGCUGAGACUAUGGGUGUGCACCAUCAAGUUCAGUUUCCAGAUAGUCUCGCCAACAAUGCACAGGAGAUGGGUGGUUAUGGACAACUUGGGGGACCCCUUGCAAGGCUCCAGGGGUGCCUCCUUGGCCAGGAAAAGACAAGGGAGCAUGAGAGGCUUUGGCACAAUUAAACUUCCUUUAAUGCGAGAACCAGUCUUCAUUCGGCCACUCCCUCUACAGCUGAGGAUGACAUCUCUCUCACCCUCAGCCAAGGAGUGGAGGGCUGAGGCAGGGAGGUAACAGGCCAGGCUGGAGCUCACCCUCAGCAGGGCCCAGAACAGUGCUGGGGGGUUGGCAGGCAGCUCCCUGAAGCCCACCUACAGUGUCAGAGGAGCAGGCUGCAAUGCCCUACCCAGCUCAGUGGAAAGCCCACCCUGACAGCCAACCACUGGCCACAGGAUGUGUCCGGGUCCCCAGGCUACAGUGGGGUGACUAAAGUGGUCAUUUGCUAGCUCAGGCUUCUUACUGCUCAGUCUGGGGCUCUCAGGACACCCAGACCUCCUUGGCUCAGCAGAGGAGGAGAGGAAGGAAAUGACAGGGCGAGGGAAGGGGCUGGGUUUUCCCCUGUCGUGCUGCAUGGACACUACACCCAGGCCAGAGCCACAGGCUUCCUCUUACCAGCCCCAGACCACCCCAGGUCACAGGGCCUACUGCCUGUCCCAAGGCAGAGAGGGGCUCCAGGAAGCUGCCAUAAAGGUUGACCUUGGGGCGGGGGUGGGGGGGCUACAUUUCAGACCCCUCUGAGCAGAAGCUGGGAUGACCUCCCCUCAGCCAGAAAGCAAACUCAAGCCCUAGGAUGUCAGCUCUAUGCUGGCUCUGGGGUGGAAAUGCUCCAAGGCUGGAGUAUAGGAAA